rnacentral:rRNA from 1 species
GACGAACGCUGGCGGCGUGCCUAAUACAUGCAAGUAGAACGCACAGUUUAUACCGUAGCUUGCUACACCAUAGACUGUGAGUUGCGAACGGGUGAGUAACGCGUAGGUAACCUGCCUGGUAGCGGGGGAUAACUAUUGGAAACGAUAGCUAAUACCGCAUAAUAUUGAUUAUUGCAUGAUAAUUGAUUGAAGGAUGCUAUUGCAUCACUACCAGAUGGACCUGCGUUGUAUUAGCUAGUAGGUGAGGUAACGGCUCACCUAGGCGACGAUACAUAGCCGACCUGAGAGGGUGAUCGGCCACACUGGGACUGAGACACGGCCCAGACUCCUACGGGAGGCAGCAGUAGGGAAUCUUCGGCAAUGGACGAAAGUCUGACCGAGCAACGCCGCGUGAGUGAAGAAGGUUUUCGGAUCGUAAAGCUCUGUUGUAAGAGAAGAACGGGUGUGAGAGUGGAAAGCUCACACUGUGACGGUAUCUUACCAGAAAGGGACGGCUAACUACGUG